AAAUAUUCGAAUUAUGUGUCUGCCUGGCUCCCUGAAUGCCAUGUAAGUUAGUUUGUUAAGAAAAGAUUAACAAACGUCUUAUAUGGCAUGAAGGGAGUCACGCAGGCGAUUCAUUUUGAAACAUAU
rnacentral:pre_miRNA from 1 species